AAGUGCACACUCGUGUUCCUUAAAUAUAUAUAUAGUAUCAAAAAAUUGCUUGUCAGUAACCGAAUAGUAAUUAAUAUACACACGAAUUUCAGAAAAAUAUUUCAAGUAAAGGAGGUAGUCAGGUGAUUAUGGAAAACAAUAUUUAGAAAACUAGAAAAGUUAUUAACUUAGGUAACAUUGACGGUUAGCUCAAAUACACACCCAAAGAAAAACCUCAAUCACUUUUGAUAGAGAAAUUUUAUCAAGGGUUUAUGAUAAUGUUUUAUUAAUACGAACAAAAUAACUAUUCUAUAAAUAAUUAUUGUUCAAGACAAGAAAAAAAAUUAUCAUAUUAAUAAAUAUAUCAUAGAUUCAAUAGUAAUGAUAUUGUAUUUAUCAAAUUGAACAAUGAAUUUAUUAUAUAGAUCGAGGUUUUUCUCUGGGUGCAGAAAUGUGACGUCACUAUCAUAAUAUGAAAUAACAGUGGACUGCUCUGUUUGUGUCCACAAUAAUGAUCGUUCAUUUAAGAUUAUUAAUAUUUUUAUUUAUAACUUAUAUUCAUAAGAAUAACAUGAUUGUUUUUCUUUAAGAAAUUCAUAAACUAUACUUGUCAGCUCUUUUUAAUCUUAUCUUAAUAAUAAAACACAAUGUGUAAAAUCCUAAACGUCUUAUAAAAUAUCAAAGUGAAUUGUAUAUUAUUUGAAUGUAUUAAUUUAUAUAUUUGAUGAUAUUUUAUAUAUUAAUUUCUAUAUUUUAUGAUUACUUGUCAAUAAAAUAUUUAGCUAUAUAUAUAUAUAGCUUAUAUAUAUAAAAACAAACUAAAGGGAUUUUCUCCUACCGAUUAUCACCUUCAUACGUGUAAAAAAAAAAUCAAUUUUGCUAUAUAAGUGGAGAAACAGCAUAUAUACGUUUAAUAAUUCGUUUUCAUGUGUUCUGCUAGUUUCUUUAUGUUCAUCAGUCUUAUUUUUUAAUACAGAAGAUCGAAAAUCAUUAAUAACUAAAAUUAUUUCAGUAUAUUCCUUGAGUUACAUUUCAAAUUGGGGAGAAAUAAUUCAAAAAUCGAGUUAAAGAAUAUAUUUUCACUGUGUUCAUUUGCAAAUAUUGAAAAUAAAUUUUUCAUCGAGGUUUAAAUUGCUCUUUUUGUUAAAGAAUAAAAAUCACAUCGUAAAAAUUUUAUACAAUGCAUCUUCCAUUAAGCCUAAAUGAUGUCGAAGACAUCGUAAAGUACUUGAAAGCGCAAAAUGUUUGCCAAUUUAAUAUAUUGGCAGACAUUUUGUACGAAUCCAGAAAUUUUACGGUGUCUGAGAAAGGCAUUAAAUAUGAAGAUGCAUUAAAAACUCCCGUGACGCUUGAUAUGAUUAGAAGUGACUGUCAAAUUUAUAAAUCUGAAAUCCGUUCAGGCGUAUACAAUUUAUUGUUUGGGGAAAAAAAUUAUUUGAAGUUCAAUUUUUUUUCUAUAUUAUCACAUAAUGUAAAUAAUGAAAUUAUGUACUCCAUAUGCACAACUGACGAUUGCAUACGUGAUAUGGCGUAUGAUCAAGAUAGCUUUACAAUAAAAUAUAUUAAAGAUCAAAUAUGUAUUAAUCAGAAUAGCAUGUACUAUUUAAUUUUCAAUUUUCCAUCGCAAUUCAAAUGUCAUUAUUGUGAUGAUCAAUUAUUUAAAUGGUUCAUUUAAAAAAGAUUAUGUAUAUAGUAUUUCUUUUUUUUAAUUUUUGAAAAU